UCUGGGAUGGUGUAACGGUAACACUCCUGACUCUGGAUCAGGCAUUCUUGGUUCGAAUCCAGGUCCCAGAGCCA
rnacentral:tRNA from 1 species